rnacentral:lncRNA from 1 species
UUUGAAUACUAGGUGUUAUACCGAUUUCAGUCACUUUCUACAUCAAUGGGAAUACCAAUGGCAGCUAAGACAUGGGGACUAACUGGGUCUCAAGUAACUUGAAAAAUGAAUAUUACAAAAUGUAUACAAUUUUGGUAGAAGUUACUGAACGGAACACAGAGAUAGAAGUUUCUACUAAACUGGGCUCAUCUAUUCUUAAUAGUACAACCUUGACGACAGUAAAGAAGAAGAAGAAGAAGAAGAAGAAGAAGAAGAAGAAGAAGAAGAAGAGAGAAACACUCAAAAACUGGUAUUUUAUUGAGAGAGACAAAGAGCUAGGGUGAGUAGUUUCAGAACAAUUUUUGAAUUUCCUUAUCGAAAGCCAUGGGGACAAGGGUCUCGUAUGCCUUCUCUGUGGGAUGGU